GAUGAACGCUGGCGGCGUGCCUAAUACAUGCAAGUCGAGCGAACAGACGAGGAGCUUGCUCCUCUGACGUUAGCGGCGGACGGGUGAGUAACACGUGGAUAACCUACCUAUAAGACUGGGAUAACUUCGGGAAACCGGAUCUAAUACCGGAUAAUAUAUUGAACCGCAUGGUUCAAUAGUGAAAGACGGUUUUGCUGUCACUUAUAGAUGGAUCCGCGCCGCAUUAGCUAGUUGGUAAGGUAACGGCUUACCAAGGCGACGAUGCGUAGCCAACCUGAGAGGGUGAUCGGCCACACUGGAACUGAGACACGGUCCAGACUCCUACGGGAGGCAGCAGUAGGGAAUCUUCCGCAAUGGGCGAAAGCCUGACGGAGCAACGCCGCGUGAGUGAUGAAGGUCUUCGGAUCGUAAAACUCUGUUAUUAGGGAAGAACAAAUGUGUAAGUAACUAUGCACGUCUUGACGGUACCUAAUCAGAAAGCCACGGCUAACUACGUG
rnacentral:rRNA from 1 species